AUGGGAAGCAUAGGGACAGUUCAGAUGACGGUCCAGGAGCUCGCUGGCGCCCUGGGCACGCCCGACGUGCCAGCUCAGUACAUCGUGCGCGCGCACCAGGACCAACAGCUCGCCGCGGCGGUCGUUGCACCAGUCCCUGUCAUUGACCUCGGCCGCCUUUUGAAGCACGGCGACGGCACCUCAGACGAGGCGGCGAAGCUCCGGUCAGCCAUCGAGUCCUGGGGCCUCUUUAUGGUAAGUGACAACCCAAGCCGGGCUAGGUUCAAGCUCUGCUCGGACUCGGCCGGCGCCUUUUCUCUAAAAAAUGAGCUGCAGCUGCGUACUAUCCCACUAUUUUGGAGCAAGACCAAGCAGCAAUAUCCAUGUGGUUUCGUAUGCAUCUUCUUGCAGGUGAGUAACCACGGUGUAGACGCCGUAAUGGACGACAUGAUGGCCGCUUCGAGGGAAUUUUUCCGGCAGCCGCUCGAAGAGAAGCAGAGAUACACCAACCUGAUCAGCGGCGAGCGGUUCCAGUUCGAGGGGUAUGGGAACGACUGGGUGAGCUCGCCGGACCAAAUCCGUGACUGGACUGACCGCCUCUACCUCAAGGUGGAGCCAGAGGACGAGCGGAGCAUCGCCCUCUGGCCAACUCAUCCCAAAACCUUUAGGGAUGCUCUGCACGAGUUUACGAAGAAAUGCGGGGGAGUGAAGGACGACCUGCUCAGGGCAAUGGCGAAGCUGCUGGAGCUUGACGACGAUGAUUACUUUGUGAAACACUUUGGGGAGAGGCCUCUCACUAACGCGAGGUGCAGCUACUACCCGGAGUGUCCGAGGCCGGAGCUCGUGUUUGGCCUCAAGCCCCACUCCGAUGGAACUGUUGUUACAGUCCUCAUGGUCGAUGACAGGGUUGGUGGCCUGCAAGUUCUCAAAGAUGGGGUCUGGUGGGAUGUACCAAUCGUACCUCACACGCUACUCCUGAUUAUAGGAGAUCAAACUGAGAUAAUGAGCAAUGGGAUCUUUAAGAGCCCUGUGCAUAGGGUCGUGACAAACACAAAGAAAGAGAGGCUAUCGGUGGCACUAGACUACUCUGUUGAUCCUGAAAAAGAAAUCGAGCCAUCGGCUCAGUUGAUCAAUGAAAAGAGGUCGGCGUUGUACACAAAAGUGAAGGUCAAGGACUACUAUGCUAGAAAUUACAAUGAUUUUACUCAGGGCAAAAUGGCUAUCGAUACAGUGAAGGUCUAA
rnacentral:rRNA from 1 species